rnacentral:rRNA from 1 species
AGUAACGGCGAGUGAAGCGGCAACAGCUCAAAUUUGAAAUCUGGCUCUUUUAGGGUCCGAGUUGUAAUUUGUAGAGGAUGCUUCGGCGUCGGCUCCGGUCUAAGUUCCUUGGAACAGGACGUCAUAGAGGGUGAGAAUCCCGUAUGUGAUCGGUUGCCCUUGCCAUGUGAAGCUCCUUCGACGAGUCGAGUUGUUUGGGAAUGCAGCUCUAAAUGGGAGGUAAAUUUCUUCUAAAGCUAAAUACUGGCCAGAGACCGAUAGCGCACAAGUAGAGUGAUCGAAAGAUGAAAAGCACUUUGGAAAGAGAGUCAAAAAGUACGUGAAAUUGUUGAAAGGGAAGCGCUUGCAACCAGACCUGCCUGCAGUUGCUCAUCCGGGCUUUUGCCCGGUGCACUCUUCUGCUGUCAGGCCAGCAUCAGUCCGGGCGGUCGGAUAAAGGCUUCGGGAAUGUAGCUCCUCUCGAGGAGUGUUAUAGCCCGUUGCGAAAUGCGGCCAGCUUGAACUGAGGUCCGCGCUUCGGCUAGGAUGCUGGCGUAAUGGUUGUAAGCGGCCCGUCUUGAAACACGGACCAAGGAGUCUAACAUCUGUGCGAGUGUUUGGGUGUCAAACCCGUACGCGUAAUGAAAGUGAACGGAGGCGGGAACCCCUCGGGGUGCACCGUCGACCGAUCCUGAUGUCUUCGGAUGGAUUUGAGUAAGAGCAUAGCUGUUGGGACCCGAAAGAUGGUGAACUAUGCCUGAAUAGGGUGAAGCCAGAGGAAACUCUGGUGGAGGCUCGCAGCGGUUCUGACGUGCAAAUCGAUCGUCAAAUUUGGGCAUAGGGG